rnacentral:rRNA from 1 species
CCGAUGGAGGGGGAUAACUACUGGAAACGGUAGCUAAUACCGCAUAACGUCGCAAGACCAAAGAGGGGGACCUUCGGGCCUCUUGCCAUCGGAUGUGCCCAGAUGGGAUUAGCUAGUAGGUGGGGUAACGGCUCACCUAGGCGACGAUCCCUAGCUGGUCUGAGAGGAUGACCAGCCACACUGGAACUGAGACACGGUCCAGACUCCUACGGGAGGCAGCAGUGGGGAAUAUUGCACAAUGGGCGCAAGCCUGAUGCAGCCAUGCCGCGUGUAUGAAGAAGGCCUUCGGGUUGUAAAGUACUUUCAGCGAGGAGGAAGGCAUUGUGGUUAAUAACCGCAGUGAUUGACGUUACUCGCAGAAGAAGCACCGGCUAACUCCGUGCCAGCAGCCGCGGUAAUACGGAGGGUGCAAGCGUUAAUCGGAAUUACUGGGCGUAAAGCGCACGCAGGCGGUCUGUCAAGUCGGAUGUGAAAUCCCCGGGCUCAACCUGGGAACUGCAUCCGAAACUGGCAGGCUAGAGUCUUGUAGAGGGGGGUAGAAUUCCAGGUGUAGCGGUGAAAUGCGUAGAGAUCUGGAGGAAUACCGGUGGCGAAGGCGGCCCCCUGGACAAAGACUGACGCUCAGGUGCGAAAGCGUGGGGAGCAAACAGGAUUAGAUAC